GUCCAGGGAGUGUCAGGGGCCUUGUUGCGUGGGUCGUCAUCAGAGUGUCAGUCCAUGUUGUGUUUCCAUGACUUUUUUUUAUUUUCGUAUUCUUUUUCUGUAAUAUCGUUUCUUCGGUAUUUAAUUUUCCGUUUCCUGGCGUUGUGCAGGCUAGCUGUAUCGCCUUGUCUUGGUGCUGUAUGCUGCUCAGGAUGAGUCUCCCUCACCCCAGAGGAGUCAGCAACCCUACCCAACACACAACACCAAAGGACUUAAUGCUUGCCUCAAUGAGUUGUUUCACUUUCAUGAUGUUGUGUUUCUAUCACUUCUUUAUUCUCGUGCUCCUUUUCAGUAAUAUCCAUUCUUCGGUGUGCUUUAUCAUUAUUUUUCGUUUCCUGGUGUUGUGUUGGCUAGCUAUAUUGCCUUAUCUUGGUGCUGUAUGCUGCUCAGGAUGAGUCUCCCUCACCCCAGAGGAGUCAGCAACCCUACCCAACACACAGCACCAAAGGACUUACUCUGCUAGAUUUUUUUCCUUUUCUUGAUUUUU